AUCAGUGGCGAACGGGUGAGUAACACGUGAGCAAUCUGCCCCUGACUCUGGGAUAAGCGCUGGAAACGGCGUCUAAUACUGGAUACGAGCUGCGAAGGCAUCUUCAGCAGCUGGAAAGAGCUUCGGUCAGGGGAUGAGCUCGCGGCCUAUCAGCUUGUUGGUGAGGUAACGGCUCACCAAGGCGUCGACGGGUAGCCGGCCUGAGAGGGUGACCGGCCACACUGGGACUGAGACACGGCCCAGACUCCUACGGGAGGCAGCAGUGGGGAAUAUUGCACAAUGGGCGAAAGCCUGAUGCAGCAACGCCGCGUGAGGGACGACGGCCUUCGGGUUGUAAACCUCUUUUAGCAGGGAAGAAGCGAAAGUGACGGUACCUGCAGAAAAAGCGCCGGCUAACUACGUGCCAGCAGCCGCGGUAAUACGUAGGGCGCAAGCGUUAUCCGGAAUUAUUGGGCGUAAAGAGCUCGUAGGCGGUUUGUCGCGUCUGCUGUGAAACCCCGAGGCUCAACCUCGGGCCUGCAGUGGGUACGGGCAGACUANACGUGCGGUANGGGAGCAUUGGAAUUCCUGGUGUACGCGUGGAAUGCGCAGAUAUCAGGA
rnacentral:rRNA from 1 species